rnacentral:sRNA from 1 species
UCGCAUGUGGUAAAUGAUCGGUUGAUGA